rnacentral:rRNA from 1 species
UACGAAGGGGGCUAGCGUUGUUCGGAGUUACUGGGCGUAAAGGGCGCGUAGGCGGCGCACCAAGUCAGGCGUGAAAGCCCUGGGCUCAACCCGGGAAUUGCGCUUGAGACUGGUGUGCUUGAGUACGGGAGAGGAUAGUGGAAUUCCCAGUGUAGAGGUGAAAUUCGUAGAUAUUGGGAAGAACACCGGUGGGCGAAGGCGGGCUAUCUGGACCGUAACUGACGGCUGAGGCGCGAAAGCGUGGGGAGCAAACAGG